UACAGAGGUGGCAAGCGUUGUUCGGAAUUACUGGGCGUAAAGGGCGCGUAGGCGGUUCGUUAAGUCCUGUGUGAAAUCCCCCGGCUCAACUGGGGAACUGCACAGGAAACUAGCGGGCUUGAGUUCGGGAGAGGGAAGCGGAAUUCCGGGUGUAGCGGUGAGAUGCGUAGAUAUCCGGAGGAACACCGGUGGCGAAGGCGGCUUCCUGGACCGGUAUUGACGCUGAGGCGCGAAAGCUAGGGGAGCAAACGGG
rnacentral:rRNA from 1 species